rnacentral:rRNA from 1 species
UACGUAGGCAGCAAGCGUUGUUCGGAGUUACUGGGCGUAAAGCGUGCGUAGGUGGUGAGUUAAGUCUGUCGUGAAAGCCCCGGGCUCAACCUGGGAAUGGCGAUGGAUACUGGCUCGCUAGAGUGCGGUAGAGGAGAGUGGAAUUCCCGGUGUAGCAGUGAAAUGCGUAGAGAUCGGGAGGAACAUCAGUUGCGAAGGCGGCUCUCUGGACCAGCACUGACACUGAGGCACGGAAAGCGUGGGGAGCAAACAGG